rnacentral:tRNA from 1 species
GGAGAGGUGGCUGAGUGGUAAAGCAUCCUCCUGCUAAGAGGAAGUAGGUAGCAAUAUCUACCGAGGGUUCGAUCCCCUCUCUCUCCU